rnacentral:misc_RNA from 1 species
UGACACUAGAAAAGCGGAUUGAGGCAUCAACGGCAAUGAUUGCGUGAUUACGAAGCAGGUGUUGGUGGACCAUGAAGUUGUGCUUCCACUGGAACAGGCCCAAGGACGACACAUGCUGGAAGCAACUAGUCUCUGCAGGCAGGUAAGGCCGUUGCAUUUGGUACCCGCAGUUACCGCAAUAUCUAGCGCACUUUCUUUCUUUUGGCGAUUCCAGCGAAUUUCCGUACGAA